GGUUGAUUGGAAGGUUUGUUGACUAAUGAAUUGGCUGUAACAACAGAGGUAGUAUUGCCAAUAAUCGUUUUAUUCAAAGGGAAAUUUGGCUUAGGAAGAAAAUUAAUAAGAGGCGGUCUUGGAGGGUAAGAGUAUAACUGAUUAGGUCUGGAAUUUUGGUAGGGUUGGCUAGCAUUUGCAGAAUUAAAGUUAUUACCAGAAUUGUUAUUGUUAGGGUUGCUAUAAGAAA
rnacentral:misc_RNA from 1 species